UCCUAGUUUCCUAGGCAGUCCCGCCAGAGUGCUUUCCAAAGGAAUAGCAACUGACGGCAAGAGUUGCGCUCGUUAAAGGACUUAACCCAACAUCUCACGACACGAGCUGGCGACAGCCAUGCAGCACCUGAGCAGGAUGGUAUUGCUACCUCAUCGCCCUUUCAGGGUCUUACUACCUGCUUGUCCAGCCUGGGUAAGGUUCUUCGCGUUGCGUCGAAUUAAACCACAUGCUCCACCGCUUGUGCGGGCCCCCGUCAAUUCCUUUGAGUUUCAACCUUGCGGCCGUACUUCCCAGGCGGGACACUUAAUGCGUUAGCUGCGGCACCGACGGUAACCCGCCGACACUUAGUGUCCAUCGUUUAGGGCGUGGACUAC
rnacentral:misc_RNA from 1 species